CCUACGGGGGGCAGCAGUAGGGAAUCUUUCACAAUGGGCGAAAGCCUGAUGGAGCAACGCCGCGUGCAGGAUGAAGGCCUUCGGGUUGUAAACUGCUUUUAUAAGCGAGAAAUAUGAUGGUAACUUAUGAAUAAGGAUCGGCUAACUACGUGCCAGCAGCCGCGGUCAUACGUAGGAUCCGAGCAUUAUCCGGAGUGACUGGGUGUAAAGAGUUGCGUAGGUGGCAUAAUAAGUAGCUAGUGAAAUCUGGUGGCUCAACCAUUCAGACUAUUAGCUAAACUGUUAAGCUCGAGACCGUUAGGGGUAACUGGAAUGUCUGGUGUAGGAGUGAAAUCCGUAGAUAUUAGAAGGAACACCAAUAGCGUAGGCAGGUUGCUGGGACGGUUCUGACACUAAGGCACGAAAGCGUAGGGAGCAAACGGGAUUAGAUACCCUUGUAGUC
rnacentral:rRNA from 1 species